GCAGCAGCGCUCGGCAGCGGGCGGGCGGCGCCGGCGGUGCCCCGGGCGCGCUCACACACGCGCUCACACACACACAUACACACGGCCUCGUACACACUCACUCACGCUCCGGCGCGCACACGCGGCGCGCAGGCCGGAGGGAGGAGGCUCGGCGCGGCUCGGCGGCAGCGUGCUCGGCGGGCGGGCGGCCCCCGCUCCCCGGCUCCGAGGCUCAGUGCAGCCCGCGCGGCCCCCGCCCUCGGACCCGCCCCCGGGGGUCGCCCGGCCUCAUGCCCUGCAGCGGCGGCGGAGUAGCACGCGGCCGCGGGAGGCUCUAAGGAGCCCCGAGGGAGCCGGCGACAAGGGGACCAUGUACCGGGACCCGGACGCGGCCGGCCCAGGGGCACCCACCAGAGAUGUCCUGCUGGUCUCUGCCAUCAUCACCGUCAGCCUUAGCGUCACUGUCGUCCUCUGCGGCCUCUGCCACUGGUGUCAGCGCAAACUGGGCAAACGCUACAAGAAUUCCUUGGAGACGGUGGGCACGCCAGACUCGGGGCGUGGGCGCAGUGAGAAGAAAGCCAUCAACGAUCUAGACAGAGACUUUUGGAAUAACAAUGAGAGCACAGUGCAGCAGAAAUGGAGUUCCUACCCUCCCAAGGAGUUUAUUCUAAACAUUUCACCCUACGCCCCUUAUGGCGACCCACGACUGUCCCUCAAUGGCACCCUCCUGUCGGGCGCCAGAGUGGCUGCCGCAGCGGGGCUGGCGGUGGAGCGGGAAGGCCGGCUGGGGGAGAAGCUGGUGUCGGUGCCGCCACCUGGAGAGGACGCCUUGAGAAGCGGCGGGGCUGCCCCCAACGAGCCGGGCAGCGGUGGCAAGGCGGGGAGAGGCCGCUGGCGGAUGGUGCAGAGCCACCUGGCCGCAGGGAAGCUCAACUUGUCCAAUUUCGAGGACUCCACCCUGUCCACCGCCACUACCCUUGAGUCUAUCCCCAGCUCCACGGGAGAGCCGAAAUGCCAGCGACCCCGCACCCUGAUGCGGCAGCAGAGCCUGCAGCAGCCGCUGAGCCAGCACCAGCGGGGCCGGCAGCCCAGCCAGCCCACCACCAGCCAGAGCCUGGGCCAGCUGCAGGCCCACACGGCCUCUGCGCCCGGCCCCAACCCCCGGGCCUAUGGCCGGGGCCAGGCUCGGCAGGGCGCCUCGGCCGGCUCCAAGUACCGGGCGGCUGGGGGCCGCAGCCGCUCCAACCCGGGCAGCUGGGACCACGUGGUGGGGCAGAUUCGAAACCGAGGCUUGGACAUGAAAUCCUUCCUGGAGGGCCGGAUGGUGGUGCUAUCCUUGGUCUUAGGGCUUUCGGAACAGGAUGAUUUUGCCAAUAUCCCUGACCUGCAAAACCCAGGAACCCAGCAGAACCAGAACGCUCAGGGGGACAAGAGGUUGCCUACAGGAGGGAAGGCGGUGACCACAGCCCCAGUGCCGGGCCAGACGCCGCAUGAUGAGUCCGACCGCCGGACUGAGCCACGCUCCUCCGUCUCGGACCUUGUCAACUCCCUCACCAGUGAGAUGCUCAUGCUCUCCCCAGGCUCGGAGGAGGAUGAGGCCCAUGAGGGCUGCAGCCGAGAGAACCUGGGCCGGAUCCAGUUCAGCGUCGGCUACAAUUUCCAGGAGUCCACACUCACUGUGAAGAUCAUGAAGGCCCAGGAGCUGCCAGCCAAGGACUUCAGCGGCACCAGCGACCCCUUUGUCAAGAUCUACCUGCUGCCAGAUAAGAAGCACAAGCUGGAGACCAAGGUGAAGCGGAAGAACCUGAAUCCCCACUGGAAUGAGACCUUCCUCUUUGAAGGUUUCCCCUACGAGAAGGUGGUGCAGAGGGUCCUCUACCUCCAGGUCCUGGACUACGACCGCUUCAGCCGCAAUGACCCCAUCGGGGAGGUGUCCAUCCCCCUCAACAAGGUGGACCUGACCCAGAUGCAGACCUUCUGGAAGGAUCUGAAGCCAUGCAGCGAUGGGAGUGGGAGCCGAGGGGAGCUGCUCUUGUCUCUCUGUUACAACCCCUCUGCCAACUCCAUCAUCGUGAACAUCAUCAAAGCCCGGAACCUCAAAGCCAUGGACAUCGGGGGCACCUCAGACCCCUAUGUGAAGGUGUGGCUCAUGUACAAAGACAAGCGGGUGGAGAAGAAGAAGACAGUGACCAUGAAGAGGAACCUGAACCCCAUCUUCAACGAGUCCUUUGCCUUUGACAUCCCCACGGAGAAGCUGAGGGAAACGACCAUCAUCAUCACUGUUAUGGACAAGGACAAGCUCAGCCGCAACGAUGUCAUCGGCAAGAUCUACCUGUCCUGGAAGAGCGGGCCUGGAGAAGUGAAACAUUGGAAGGACAUGAUUGCCCGGCCCCGGCAGCCUGUGGCCCAGUGGCACCAGCUGAAGGCCUGAGUGGGGCCAAGGGAGGCCCAGGGGACCGAGGGCUCUGGUCCCCAUCAUGCCCUCCCCACUUUAUGCACAGGCCCAGCCUGGCUCCUCUGCCAUGGUGAGGGAGGGCCCUGAGGGCUAGACCAGGGAGGGGUCCCAGGAACCCAUUGGGCCCCAUUUCUAGGAAGCACCAACCCCAUCCCCCAACAGUCCAGCUCUGGGGGAGGGGCUCUGGGAGCCAUUUUCCUGCUUUGUCCCUUUCCUUCCUGACUUGCUGAUACUAAAGAAGUGGAGGGAGAGUGUAAGGGCCAGACAGGCAGACGGGCAGACCCCUCCAGAGGCCCGCCAGGUGGGCACAGUCCCCCGUUUUCUUUAUGGUGGUGCCUGGAGUGGAGAGAUGCUGCUCCCCUCACAGUCCCCAUGUGGGCCCAGGAGAGGGGAGACCAAGGCGUUUGGCCUCGGCCUGGUCAGGAGAGGCCUGUCCCAGGACAGUUUCAGGUGCCGGCUGGGCCCUGAAUGCUGAGGAUAGUAUAUAGCCCGCUCCAAGGUCCUGGAGCCACAGCCCUGUGUACUUGUGUUGUGUCCACUGUGUGCGUGCGUGUGCAUGUGUGUACGGGGAUGGGGUGCUCAUCCCCCUGGGGUCAGCAGUGCUGAGGAUUAUGCGGAGGGCACAGAGUUUCGUGAAUGAGGCAGGGCAGUAGGCUGGGAGCGGAGAGGCAUGUGAGGAGUGGGGUAGGAAAGAGGGGCAGAUGCCGUAGCUGGGCUAAGAACCAGGGGCCUCCUGCCCCCCACCUCCUCCCCACCCCCACCGUGCUCCCCUCUGCUCAGAGUUAUCCAGAAGCUGCUUGCCAGCGCCUUCAUCUCUUGAACAUCAUUUCACAACUGUUAGGCUCCUACUGAAUGCAUCACGUUCUAUCAGGACUCACCUCCUUUCUUUCUCAGGGGGUCCCAAGCCCCCACUAGCUCUCUUCCCUAACACCCUCAUCCAGAGACAGUCUCAGCCUUCCCAGAUCUCAUAAACCAGUCAAGCCAGCAACGUCCUCCAUGCCUUCCAGCCUCCUUCCCUCCUUAUCAUCGCCCCAUCCGUGCAGACCCCCCCACACUGCACUCACCACCCCUCCAUCCCCCAUGCUCACAGGCCCUCCCUCCAGUUCCCUGUCUGGGUCUCCAGUCCUCUCCAGGACGGUCUUCUCACCUUUCCCACCGCUUAUGGUCCCUCAGAGCAGUUCCUGCCCCUCUCGGUUUAGGUUAGAAAGCAGGGAAAAUUACAGGAUUCUGUGGGUUUGAGGUUGCCCCACACAAAGAAGCUAUGGUUUCUCUGCCUCAGCUGCUGCAGAGACUCCAACUGUCUUCCCUUAGAGACAGAAUAUUUCAGUAUGAGCCCUGCUUAAGCCUGAUCAUCCCCAGGUGGGUCCUGGUAUUGAUACAAGACAGCUGGUGAGUGACAGCCUGGAAUCCAGUGGUCCGUGAGCUUGGGCCUGACAUUCCGACACACACCGCCAGGUGGCGCCAGGACACCACAGUCUGUGGCCGGGGGUCUGGGACGGCGGUUCUACCCCCAGAUGGGACGGGCACUUCAGGAAAGGAGACUGGACAGGAUCCCCGCUUAGAGAGCACGGCAAAAGUAUAAGCAUUUGAGAACCAUUUUCCUUCAGUAAGCUUCCCCUGAGCUGAGCAUUCUGCUCUAUGCAGGAGAUGGGUCACGUUUUUGCUCAUAUCAAAUUUUCUUACAUUGAAUCUCACGCCCCCGCCCCCGCCCCCACCCCCAGGACCUGGAGGAAUACCAAAGCAGGUGAAUCAUUUUGUAGACUGAAGAGUGCUCACGUAAAGCAGUCACCCACAUCCCUUGUAAAUCCCAAUUUUUCCAUAUUGUAACUUGACUUAAAACGGGGGUCUGCCCCAACUGCCCCGUCCUUAUUGGGCGGUCCGGGGACCAGCCCCCAGCGGGGACAGGAGGGCAGCGACUCUGGAGCCUGCGUGGAAUCGAAGACAGUGCUGUCAGAAGCCUUGAGAGGCGGAGGCGAUCUGUCACUUAGGAUCCUGCGCCCCUCCACCCCGCGGGGCGACCACCUCGCCAGGCCUGCUAGCUUGCUGUGGAGCCCCUGGGGAACUGAACCAAAGCGCACUGAGUGGGCGGGGCUACUGCGUCCCCUUUUCCGAGCCCCGCCCGCGGAGCUCUUGGCCAUUCAUAUGCAGACAGCACCUCUGGGCGGAGUCUGUUCCCAAUCUGACCCUACCCAGACACCUUGGUGAGCCCGGCCUGGGGUUCCCCAGCACCAAGACGCGCAAGCUGGGACGUUGGGGACAGGCGAGAAGCGGUGGGCCGAGGGCCGGGUGGCUAGCACUGAGGAGGUGGGUGGUAUGGGGUGAGGGCGGGGACGGUCUAGGAUACAGGAGAACAGGGAAGGGGGGAACUUAAGGGUGGGAGCAGGGCACCUGGAGCCCUGCCACCGUCUCAGGACUUCGGGCAAAUCACCCACACUCCCGGGGCCUCAGUUUCCCUAUCUGUAAAUUGAUGGUAACAAUACUUCACCUACCUCAUCAGGGAGGUUGUGAGGCCACUUUCACCUGACCUGGGGGUGCUACCCUGAGCAAAGUAUUAUCCCACUGUAGCCUGAAAACACGCCCAUCUGCCCCUCCCAUUGCACAGCCUCCAGGGAUGGCUGAGGCUGGCCUGGGCCCAUCUAUCUCUUCUCCACUGUGUCCCAGGUUCCUCCAUGAGCGUCACCUGCCAUCUUUGUGGGCGCCCUAGACUUAGUCCUUAUUUUGUUCUAGUAUCCUUUCUUGUGACCAUCUCUCCAUGUAACUGCUGUACAAAUUCCACCUGCCCCAGGACCCCCAAACCUGCCCCACCUGCCCUGGUGCCACUUGCCAGGGAAGGGACAAGGAAAACAGCCACAUAAAAAGCCAAGGGAGGCCCCCAGAGCCCCCAGUCCAGCUGGGGCCCUAGGAGUGGGGCUGGUGGCCGCUGUCUGUAUUGUGUUUGAGUUCUUGAGUACACUUGUUUUAUAAAAAAAGAAAACCCACUUUCACACACACAUACAAAAAAAAAAUGCAAUGAAGACAAAUGCAGAAAAGCUGAAGAAAAAAAAGGAAAAAGAACCAUACAAAAUUUUUCCACCACAUGCACCCUCUAAGCCAGCAAGAUUUCCUCUUUGCAAAAUCAUAUUUUUGUGGGAAUGGGCCCUGCUUUUUGUGGCAAGGCCUGUUCUGAUUAAUAAAGGAUCGUGAAAAA